rnacentral:rRNA from 1 species
UACGGAGGGUGCGAGCGUUGUCCGGAAUCACUGGGCGUAAAGGGCGCGUAGGCGGCGCGGUUAGUCAUCGGUGAAAGUUCAGGGCUCAACUCUGAAUCGGCCGGUGAUACUCCCGUGCUCGAGCACUGUAGAGGCAGGUGGAAUUCCGGGUGUAGCGGUGGAAUGCGUAGAGAUCCGGAAGAACACCGGUGGCGAAGGCGGCCUGCUGGGCAGUAGCUGACGCUGAGGCGCGAAAGCUAGGGGAGCGAACGGG